GGCGAACGGGUGAGUAACGCGUGAGGAACCUGCCUCAAAGAGGGGGACAACAGCUGGAAACGGCUGCUAAUACCGCAUAAGCGCACAGGACCGCAUGGUCCGGUGUGAAAAACUCCGGUGGUGUGAGAUGGACCCGCGUUUGAUUAGCUAGUUGGUGGGGUAACGGCCUACCAAGGCGACGAUCAAUAGCCGACCUGAGAGGGUGACCGGCCACAUUGGGACUGAGACACGGCCCAAACUCC
rnacentral:rRNA from 1 species